rnacentral:rRNA from 1 species
UAAAGGCCUACCAAGGCGAAGACGGGUAGGGGUGUGAGAGCACGACCCCCACAAUGGGACUGAAACACGGCCCAUACUCCUACGGGAGGCAGCAGCAGGGAAUAUUGCACAAUGGGCGAAAGCCUGAUGCAGCGACGCCGCGUGAGUGAAGAAGGCCUUCGGGUCGUAAAGCUCUUUUGUAGGGGAAGAGGAAGGACGGUACCCUGAGAAAAAGCGUCGGCUAACUACGUGCCAGCAGCCGCGGUAAGACGUAGGACGCGAGCGUUAUCCGGAAUUACUGGGCGUAAAGGGCCAGCAGGCGGCUAGGUAAGUUGUGCGUGAAAGCCUCGUGCUCAACGCGAGGAAGCCGGACAAUACUGUCUAGCUGGAGGGCAUCAGAGGGGAGUGGAAUUCCCGGAGUAGCGGUAAAAUGCGCAGAUAUCGGGAGGAACACCGAUGGCGAAGGCAACUCCCUGGGGUGUACCUGACGCUAAGUGGCGAAAGCUAGGGGAGCGAACAGGAUUAGAGACCCUGGUAGUCCUAGCUGUAAACGCUGGGUGCUAGGUGUGGGGCGUAGAAGCUCUGUGCCGGAGCGAACGCGAUAAGCACCCCGCCUGGGAAUUACGGUCGCAAGGCUAAAACUCAAACGAAUUGACGGGGCCCCGCACAAGCAGCGGAGCGUGUGGUUCAAUUCGAUGCUACACGAAGAACCUUACCUGGGUUUGACAUGUACGUGGUAGAGAAGCGAAAGCGGAUUGACCCUUCGGGGAGCGUACACAGGUGCUGCAUGGCUGUCGUCAGCUCGUGCCGUGAGGUGCCGGGUUAAGUCCCGUAACGAGCGCAACCCUUGCCCUUAGUUACAAGUGUCUAGGGGGACUGCCGACGGGAAGCCGGAGCCAGGUGGGGAUGACGUCAAGUCAGCAUGGCCCUUAUGUCCAGGGCUACACACACGCUACAAUGGUCAGUACAAAGGGUAGCGAAGCCGUGAGGUGGAGCGAAUCUCAGCAAAGCUGAUCGUAGUUCGGAUUGCAGGCUGCAACCCGCCUGCAUGAAGCUGGAGUUGCUAGUAACCGCGCGUCAGCCAUCGCGCGCUGAAUACGUACCCGGGGCUUGUACACACCGCCCGUCACGUCAUGGGAGUCGG